rnacentral:rRNA from 1 species
GAUGAACGCUGGCGGCGUGCCUAAUACAUGCAAGUCGAGCGAACAGACGAGGAGCUUGCUCCUCUGACGUUAGCGGCGGACGGGUGAGUAACACGUGGAUAACCUACCUAUAAGACUGGGAUAACUUCGGGAAACCGGAGCUAAUACCGGAUAAUAUAUUGAACCGCAUGGUUCAAUAGUGAAAGACGGUUUUGCUGUCACUUAUAGAUGGAUCCGCGCCGCAUUAGCUAGUUGGUAAGGUAACGGCUUACCAAGGCAACGAUGCGUAGCCGACCUGAGAGGGUGAACGGCCACACUGGAACUGAGACACGGUCCAGACUCCUACGGGAGGCAGCAGUAGGGAAUCUUCCGCAAUGGGCGAAAGCCUGACGGAGCAACGCCGCGUGAGUGAUGAAGGUCUUCGGAUCGUAAAACUCUGUUAUUAGGGAAGAACAAAUGUGUAAGUAACUAUGCACGUCUUGACGGUACCUAAUCAGAAAGCCACGGCUAACUACGUG